UACGUAGGCAGCAAGCGUUGUUCGGAGUUACUGGGCGUAAAGGGUGUGUAGGCGGUUUUCUAAGUCUGGUGUGAAAUCUCCCGGCUCAACUGGGAGGGUGCGCCGAAAACUGGAAGGCUAGAGUGCGGGAUGGGAGAGUGGAAUUCCUGGUGUAGCGGUGAAAUGCGUAGAUAUCAGGAGGAACACCGGUGGCGAAGGCGGGUCUCUGGGCCGUAACUGACGCUGAGGAGCGAAAGCGUGGGGAGCGAACAGG
rnacentral:rRNA from 1 species